GGCCUGAGAGGGGCUCGGCUGUGGGGGAGCGCGGGUUUCGCGCUGCCUUGAGUUCUGCAGCAGCGCUGGCCCAGCGCUCGUGGGACGGCGCGGCUGCCCCAGGCGGCACAGGCCCUGAUGCGCUACUCGCCAUUUCUAACGCGUGUCGGGAAUUGAAAUAGUAAAAUAGGGAGCCGGCUCUGGCAAGGAAAAACUUUCGCACCCAACCAGCAAAGCCCGACGCUUGAGGCAAGUUCGAUAGAGGGCGGUAAUGUUUUAAGUCUGCCUCAGCAAAACGUUUCCCCAAAAAAGUUCAACUACCCUCCUUUCUUCAGCCAGUCAAGAAGCAAAGGUGAGCAGAGAGGGGAAGGCUACAGGGCCGUGGCAGACAAGUUCUGUCUUAUCCAGAGUGGCUGCUAAGCGAUGGGCCCCAGUUGAGGUUGUCUGAUCAACAUGAGGGCUGCUGCCAAACCACUGUUCCUGACACGGUUGAAGUUAAGGGCAUGCGUGCAAAAUGCAAACAGUGCAACAAAGAAAUGCAAGGCCUGGUGGCCUGAAUGAAACAUCAUGAGAAGUGUUCCUUCUCAGGUGGAAGCUGCGUUGAAGAUGAUAAAAGGAACACGUCUGAACAUGCAGGAUUUUCAGGAGAAUCCAUCCUCAAUUUACAGGAUUCUGAAGAUUAUCCACCUUCAAGAUCAUCUUUUUCUAUAGUUUGAGUUACGUCAUGAUAGUGUUUCAGUCACAUCAUGUAUGUCACAUAGGCACAGUAUAUCACCUAUAGCAAAAAGAAAAAAAAAUCUCCAUCAUCCAGAAACAACCAUAGAUAAAUUUGUGAAAAGAACCAGAUUACAAAAAGAGGUAAUGGAUGAAAAAAUUGCCCAGUUUUAUGCAAUCAACUCUCCUUUCCGUAUGAUUGAGAACCCACACUUCAUUAAUGUGGUGCAGUCAUUAACACCAGGAUACAGUCCACCCACCUGAGCAGAUGUUGCAGGCAAAUUGCUGGAUAAAGUGUAUGGAAGAGAAAUUGAGCAGUGUGCAAACGGUAUAGAGGGUGAAAUUGUUAACCUGAGUCUUGAUGGGUGGAGCAGUGUCCACAAUGAUCCUGUUGUAUGUGCUUGUGUGACAACAGAAGAAGGGAAUGUCUUCCUUACAGAAACAACUGAUACAUCAGGAAAUGUACACACAGCAGAAUACUUACAAGUAUCAGCAGUAAAAGCUAUAACAAAAUUGUGAAAAACAAUUCAAAUAUCUAGUACGCAGCUUGGUCACGCACAAUGCUGCAAGUGUAUCCAAGAUGAGAAGAAAUUAUUUAGAAGAGGGUCCCAAUAACACACAGUUGCAGUGCUCAUUUGAUGCACCUCUUAGCCAAAGACUUCAGUGUUCCAGAAAUAAAAGCUAAUAUUGUGGAAAUUACAAAAUACUUCCGUAACAACCACUUUGCAGCAGCUGCUCUGAAAAAAGUGGGACAAACCAAGCUAACUCUCCCACAAGACAUGUGAUGGAACUCAGCAGUGGACUAUUUUGAGCACUAUAUCAAGAACUGGCCUAAUCUUAUGACAGUUUGUGAACAAAAUCAAGAAAAAAUAGAUGGCACUGUCACAGCCAAAGUUGUCAACAUUGGACUUAAGAGACAUGUUGAACAUAUGCUGAGUACCCUGAAGCCUAUUUCUGGAGGCUUGAACAAAAUGCAGGGAAAUAGCUGUUUUAUUGAUGAUGCUGUUGAAAUUUGGAAGGAACUGAGUGAAAUCUUAAAAAGAGAAACAUGUAAUGACAGAGUUAAAUUACAAGCAUUAAAAAAACAAAAACCGAAUGGGACAAGCACUCUCUCCAGCUCAUUUUCUUGCAAAUAUUCUCAAUACUCAGUAUCAGGGUCAAACCUUAACUGCUGAAGAAGAGGAGUUGGCUAUGACAUGGACAUCUAGCAAUCAGCCCUCCAUAAUGCCAACUAUAAUAAACUUCAGAGCUAAGGGCAAACCAUUCAAGAAAUAUACGUUUGCUGAUGUUGUUUUAAAGAAAGUCACACCAGUGAACUGGUGGAAGUCAUUUAAGUACUUGGAUUCAGAGACUGUUGAAGUGAUAAUCUCACUUAACAGCAGUAGCUUCUUCUGCUGGUGUAGAAAGAAUAUUUUCUUCCUUUGGACUAAUUCAUUCCAAACUGAGAAAUCGUUUGGGACCUGAAAAAGCAGGAAAGCUUAUUUUUCUUUUCCAGAUUGUGAACAAACAGGAAAAUGGAGGUGAAGAUGACUGAGUUAGCUGCAGAAGCCAAUAUUUUAAGUUUCUCAUGUUGACCUGGCUAACAGUUGAUUUAAUUUUUGUUUUUAAAAAAAAAUGUAUUUCAUUUAACUAUUUUAGUUAAAAACAACUUUAACAAAAACCUGAUUUUAAAAAUCUUGAAUGUUUAACUAAAUUCAAAAAUUCAUAUGUUUGUUUUGUUAAAAUAUAUGUUUGCUGUUGAAGAAAAAAAUCCAGAAUACAUAAUGUUUUUAGUUAAAUAAAACAAUUUAAAUGUCUGGUGAUGUUCUCCUCCUACUACAGCUUGGCAAGAAAAUCCUCGAAAUAAUAAUGUUUAACCUGUUGAAUUGGAGAUAGUUCACCUCCCAAUGACUUCAUAAGUAUCUGCUUCAAUUACC